GACACGAUGGAGGAAGCCAGGUUCACGUGUUCCAGCCUCGGCAGGCCUGGAUGCCUCUUGUGCUCUGGGAUGAGGAAGCCCCUCCUGUGACCGGAGGAAGAAGCUGGAGGAAGAGGCCUGUGGAGCUGCUCAGGAAUGCAAGUGUCCCAGGUGUGGCUCAGGAAGAGUUAGUCCAGCCUAGGCAGCUAGGGACGGAGGGCAACCUUGCGUAUCCAGGCAGUCACAAAUAAGGACUUUAACUGCUCUGACUGGUGUGUGGACCAGACAUCAUUCAUCUGCCUCCAAACUGCCUAGUGGCUCUCCUUCCCCUGCCAUCCUCUUCCUGAAAUAUCUUCUUGGGCUUAGAGAGCACGUUCACUUAGACUUCCAGAAGCUGGAGCCAGGAAAUGGCUUAAAAUGAGCCAUACGAGAUGUGUGAAGACAGGAUCUCACCACCACCAAAGAAGUAGAAGCAGGAGUGGAGUGUGUCCUUUGGACCUGGGAUCCCUGUGCUGAGAUAUUCCUAGACUCAGGAUGCAGUUGUAACACAGAAGACAGCAAGAUGGUGAGAAGCAGCAACAGCGGAAUGGCAACAGCAGAGGCAGCAGAACCAGGAGACUGGCAGG